rnacentral:rRNA from 1 species
UACGUAGGUGGCAAGCGUUAUCCGGAUUUAUUGGGUGUAAAGGGCGUGUAGGCGGGAGCACAAGUCAGAUGUGAAAACUCAGGGCUCAACCCUGAGCCUGCAUUUGAAACUGUGUUUCUUGAGUGCUGGAGAGGCAAUCGGAAUUCCGUGUGUAGCGGUGAAAUGCGUAGAUAUACGGAGGAACACCAGUGGCGAAGGCGGAUUGCUGGACAGUAACUGACGCUGAGGCGCGAAAGCGUGGGGAGCAAACAGG